rnacentral:rRNA from 1 species
GGAAACAGAUGCUAAUACCGGAUAACAACAGAUGAUGCCUAUCAACUGUUUAAAAGAUGGUUCUGCUAUCACUCUUGGGGGAUGGACCUGCGGUGCAUUAGCUAGUUGGUAGGGGUAACGGCCUACCAAGGCGAUGAUGCAUAGCCCGAGUUGAGAGACUGAUCGGCCACAUUGGGGACUGAGACACGGCCCAAACUCCUACGAGAGGCAGCAGUAGGGAAUCUUCCACAAUGGACGCAAGUCUGAUGGAGCAACGCCGCGUGAGUGAAGAAGGGUUUCGGCUCGUAAAGCUCUGUUGUUGGUGAAGAAGGACAGGGGGUAGUAACUGAUCUUUGUUUGACGGUAAUCAAUUAGAAAGUCACGGCUAACUACGUGCCAGCAGCGCGGUAAU